rnacentral:rRNA from 1 species
UAGGGAAUCUUCCACAAUGGGCGAAAGCCUGAUGGAGCAACGCCGCGUGUGUGAUGAAGGGUUUCGGCUCGUAAAACACUGUUGUAAGGGAAGAAUGACAUUGAGAGUAACUGUUCAAUGUGUGACGGUAUCUUACCAGAAAGGAACGGCUAAAUACGUACCAG